AUGUUUCUUUGAAUAUUGAAUCUGGGAAAACUGAUGUUACAUCAGUUUUCCCAGAUUCAAUAUUCAAAGAAACAU
rnacentral:sRNA from 1 species